UUCCUACGGGUGGCAGCAGGAGGGAAUAUUGGUUAAUGUGCGAAAGCGCGAACCAGCAACGCCGCGUGAACGAUGAAGGCCUUCGGGUUGUAAAGUUCUUUUUACCGGGAAGAGGAAGGACGGUACCGGUAGAAUAAGUCUCGGCUAACUACGUGCCAGCAGCCGCGGUAACACGUAGGAGACGAGCGUUAUCCGGAUUUACUGGGUGUAAAGCGCGUGCAGGCGGUCUGUUAAGUUGGAUGUGAAAGCUCCCGGCUAAACUGGGAGAGGUCGUUCAAAACUAGCAGACUAGAGUGUGGUAGAGGGGAGUGGAAUUCCGAGUGUAGCGGUAAAAUGCAUAGAUAUUCGGAAGAACACCAGUGGCGAAGGCGACUUUCUGGACCACAACUGACGCUCAGACGCGAAAGCCAGGGUAGCAAACGGGAUUAGAUACCCGUGUAGUCAC
rnacentral:rRNA from 1 species